UACGUAGGGUGCAAGCGUUGUCCGGAAUUAUUGGGCGUAAAGAGCUCGUAGGCGGUCAGUCGCGUCUGCUGUGAAAACUCGGGGCUUAACUCCGGCCUGCAGUGGGUACGGGCUGACUAGAGUGCGGUAGGGGAGACUGGAAUUCCUGGUGUAGCGGUGAAAUGCGCAGAUAUCGGGAGGAACACCUAUGGCGAAGGCAGCUCGCUGGACGGUACUGACGCUGAGACGCGAAAGCGUGGGAGCGAACAGAUAGAU
rnacentral:rRNA from 1 species